GCGGGAAUAGCUCAGUUGGUAGAGCACGACCUUGCCAAGGUCGGGGUCGCGAGUUCGAGUCUCGUUUCCCGC
rnacentral:tRNA from 60 species